rnacentral:tRNA from 1 species
GAUAGGAUAGGGUGUAUUGGUAGCACGGAGAAUUUUGAAUUCUUAGGUGUAGGUUCAAUUCCUAUUGUCCUAG